UUCCAGACUCCUACGGGAGGCAGCAGUGGGGGAUAUUGCACAAUGGGGGGAACCCUGAUGCAGCGACGCCGCGUGGGUGAAGGAGCGUUUCGGCGCGUAAAGCCCUCUCGGCAGGGAAGAAGGAGGACGGUACCUGACUAAGAAGCCCCGGCUAACUACGUGCCAGCAGCCGCGGUAAUACGUAGGGGGCAAGCGUUAUCCGGAUUUACUGGGUGUAAAGGGGGCGCAGACGGCAGCGCAAGCCAGAUGUGAAGGCCCGGGGCUCAACCCCGGGACUGCAUUUGGAACUGUGUAGCUGGAGUGUCGGAGAGGCAGGCGGAAUUCCUAGUGUAGCGGUGAAAUGCGUAGAUAUUAGGAGGAACACCAGUGGCGAAGGCGGCCUGCUGGACUGCAACUGACGUUGAGGCCCGAAAGCGUGGGGAGCAAACAGGAUUAGAUACCCCUGUA
rnacentral:rRNA from 1 species